ACUCAGAAAGAAACAAUUGGACUGCAAAACAUUAUGGCAGCAAGCCGUUCGUGCCCUACAUUUCACGGAAAAAAUAAAGGGUAAAACUUUAAUGAGAAUUCCAAAGGCAAACAGCUCCCGAUCCAGGGUGAAGUAAUUCUUUAAAACUUUUUAAAAAGCUAAUGACAAACAAAUUAGUAAUGCGCAAAUUACAAAGUGUUUGCAGUGUAUAUAAAAUGUCAUUAAAAACACUGCAUUAAAAAGCACAAUAAAAAUUGAUUUGAAUGGAUUUAAAUGUAGGAUUUAAUCAAUAUUUAGCCUUACUGAAAUGCCAAAAUUGGACGGUUAAUUCCAGUAUUCGUGGAAAAAAAUUUUAACUAACGUUAUUGACGGUUAAACAUAGGCUACACAAGCGUGUAAACCGUUAACGGUUUAGUAAAUUUUUAUUCAAAUCCCCACCCUAGAUGGCGAAAACGUCGAGUACCCCCCCAUCUUGCGGCAAAAUUUGUCGUCUGAUUACUGAUUAGUACCUUCUUAAUAAAAAUGGCGACCAGUCCGACCGCGUUACAGAGCAGUUACGACCUACGAUCAGUUGGAACCUGCGACUGCGAGUGACUGACAAUUCCUGCCUUUUACGAAAAGUUUUCGUCACUCACGAAUAUUCGUCGAAAACAGCCUACAGCAGUAGAUUGUUGUCGGUGAGAAGCUUCCCAACCUACCACAUUUGUUUUUGUUUUAAUUGGAGUAGUGGAGUAGCAGUCGUGAAGUGAGAAAGCAGAAAGGGAAACAGAUUUUGCGGUACCAGGCUCAGGAAAAAAGAAACCGUAGAAGUCACUUGUCGCUCAAGUUCUCCAUUAUCUAACCUUUAACCACCAAUUGCGUAAAGCACUAGAUUUUGAAACACAAACGCGAUGCAAUUUUUCUUUACGGUGAAUGAGUUAGACCGUAUCACGAAGUCAAGCAUCUAGCCCGAUGUUCAAGAUUUUCAUUAGGGCCUCAAGAAUAACUCACCGGCUUGGAUAUAUUGUCUUCCGUCAAGAAAGUUGUCUAGCCUUUAGCUAGAUCUUAAUACAAACCUUAGUCUUACACUCUACUGAUUAUAAAAGAAUUUCUAGUUCUGGAAGACCUUCUGGGAGACUUUCGCAACCCGUCCGUUAUGGAUUGCAAACUGGGAGUGCGCACUUAUCUCGAAGACGAGUUGGCAAAAGCCAAACUCAAACGGAGUAACUUUUUGUCAUGGAAAUUUUUCCUCCGGAUUUCAGGUGCAGACUGGAAAAAAAAGAAACUUCGCGACAGAUGGAGAAAAUGAAAAACGAUCACGAGGAAGCGAUCUUAACAGCCGUUCGCGAUGCUCUAAAGCCGGUCGAUAGCGAAUUAAGAGUCCCUCCAUAAAGAUCGUGAAGCCUAUCUUCUCCUUCAAAAGGAGUAUGCGGAUCACCAAACCUCACAAAACCAAUCACCAAACAACUGCAUCCUUUGGUUCAAGCCGAGUCCUCUGUUAUCGUCAAUGUCCUUUACCGACCGGAAUACCUUUUCCAGCCUGGCACGGAAGCACGGAAGAAGUGUGAUAAUGGCGGAUUCAUUCGCAGGUUGAUUAAACACACUGAACGAUUGCUGGAGGACAAGGAGGAAAAACUUUGCAUCCAAGUUCUCAACACUUUACGUCACAUGAUGAAUUUCGAUGGUGGGAAUGGCGAAAAGGGAGACGCAUUGAGAAAGAAUCUUUGAGUUCGCUACUUUGCCAAACUAGCCUCUCAUAGUUCUAAAAAGGCCGAGUUCAAUGGCGGAAGCGGAAUCUACCGCUGGAAUUCAUUCAACAUUAUCUGGUGGUACUGGUGGUGGAGGAGGCGGUGUCGGACAAUCUUCAUCGCUGACAACCCACGGACCUCGAGAGCGUCUCCUGUCGCGAGGUGAAAUGUGUUUCCACGAGGUGCAAGUGUACCUGUACUGAGCAGGCGCCUCUGAUUUGAUGGCCAUAUUGGUCAUGAAGUCGUCGUUAUCGCCAUCGUUUUCAUGGAAGCGGUCCAGUUGGGGAUCGCCCUGUUGGAAGGCGACCACCCCGUAAGCAAGCGGAGUCUCUACACGAAAUUUACUGAAAAAUAACGAUUUAAAAAAAGGAAAUUCGAUCGUUUUUCAGCUGUCAAAAGCCCCAGCUUUAGUUACUUUUAUUUUUCGUAGUUCUAAAGUCAUUUAUUGUAAUUAUUUUGAGAUUAUUUGGGGUGAUAUUUUACCGUAAGUGAUCUAGCUUCAAAGCUCACUUGUUAGAUUUUUUAUAUUUUGCGUUUAUAUCUACUUCCGGUUUCUAAAUCAGUUAAUAGUUCAGUAAGUUUGUAUGUGACACCCAAAUAAACCCAUUAUUCGUGA